GAUGAAAUAGGUUAUAAAUAAAUACCUAUUUGGGAACUUUUGACUUGAUUGAGGGAUGAUUGUCCAUUGCUUGUGCGUAAGAAUUCUGGUGUGCCUUAAGGGUAAUUUUGUCAUUUUUACCAAUAAAUUCACGUGUCGCCUAUUGAUUAUUUUUGGCUCCACAAAUGCCCCCACACUUGUUGGGCUGCUUGUAGAAAAGGGCAACAGGUGUAAAGAUUUUUUUGCUUUGAGAAACAUAAGAUUGUUUCCUAUUUUGAUGCAAAUUCCCUCUUUAAUAGGAAAUUAGAUCUUUCUAGGAAAGGAAAUAAAUUUCUCAAAGCAUAUUUAAGUCCACCUUCAGUGGGUUAUUAAAUCAACUUUGUUUAGCGAUUUAUUCUACCCUACAAGAGAGAGAAAGCUUAGAGGAUAUUUGUUCCCCCUCCUCUAGCAAUCUUCAACAUCUUGCAUGUGCAAAUGAUUGUCUUUUGUUGACUUCUUUGUCUUCUCCGCACCGCACCGAUGUAAAAAAAACUUAAUACUCCUUGUCUUCUUCUUAGUGGUGCUGCCACGGGGCAGCCGUCGGGGUGGUGCGACACGUCGGCUGG
rnacentral:lncRNA from 1 species